CAGCAUUCCUAGCUGGCGAGCAGAAGGCUGGGACUGAGGGAGGCGGCAGGCUGGAGGAGAGGCAGGGAGAGCUGAGGGCCACGGGCCUGGGAGUGUGGGCCAGGGCCCGGGGUCCGGGGCCCACAGCCUGGGACAGUGGCUGCAGGAACGGGUUACUGAGCGGAAAAGGGGGAGGUGUGAGGGCGGGUACGGACAGAAAGGUAGGGAAGAUGGAGACUGAGAUGAGAUUUUUUUUUUUUAAAAGCUGCAGGAAAGAAGCAAAAACUAACAUGAGUUCUUCCCCUCUAAGUAAGGAGGUUUCAGAAUCUGGAAAUUUGGUCAAAUCAUCUAAAACAAACUUAGGAAAACACCAAAAUGUCUGACUUUCUGUCGCUGUGGGAAGCAGUUUCCUGUUCCUGUUCUGGAUGUAAGGCUGCAGUGGAUGUCCAAUCAGACGACAGGACCGCUGAUAAUGUCAUAGCGACGAACGUGACAUCAUGGCCAGGGACUCGCGGAGAGAAGACAAGCGGAGCUCCAGACAGAGAGCGAGGCUGCGCGGCUCCGCUCGCCCGGCGAAGGCAGCCCGGCGGUCGGAUCGGAACCGCGCGGACUCCCGGGGGCUACGGAGGGGAGGCGGCAUGCGGGACGGGACGCAGCCGGACCUGGAGCAGCUGCCGCCGGACUCAUUUGGGCCGCGGCGACGGCUGAAGAUUUCCUGGGGAAGUUGAGCGAAACGGCGAGUUGCUUAAUUUGCGCCAAUCAAGAGGAGAGGAAGACAAGUCCCGAAGUGGCAGCAAGUUGAACUGCGAUGGAGAGGAGAAGCCCCGAGCGUGUGGCUCUGCGUGUCCGUGUGCAUUUACGUAACAUGAGAUUAAAGACACGCCCUGGCAGCGAUUGAACCAGACGGCAGAAACUGGGACCAGGUGAUGCUGAUGGAGGAACGUCGUCUCGCCUCAACAAAUGAAGAAGAUUUCACACUCCAACACACACAGUGAAUGUGUAAAACUGUUUCCAGGUGAAGAGAAGCAGAUCAGAAGGAAUCCAGGUGAACUGGAAUAACACGGAAAAACGUGACUGUGCUGGUGCAGUGAUGGGAUGAUGUGAGCAGCGCUGUAUCUGCCGGCCCCCAGAGCUUCCUUUGUGCUGUUGGAAUUAACUACGACUCGUCACGUGUAACCGACUGCUAACCUCCAACCCCAUUCAGGAAUCGUCGCCUGUGUGUGUGAGAGGGGCAGAGAAAGGAAGAGGUCAAGCUGUCACAAACACAAGCAAAACCAUUGUUCCCAAUGGAAAAGCACAGAUGCACUCCGACCAGAACAAACACACCAACGGAUAUACUUGCAAAAACUGUAGAUCUCUACUCUGAAUCUGCUGGAAAUGAAGCAUGAUUUGAUGAAACUGCACAUAUUAAAAUAAACUGAAAUGUGGUGCGAUUUCAACUGAAAUUUGACGUACUAUUAUAAUCAUUUACUUAGCAAACUUAGUCAUACAUAGAUUGAGCAAUUUCUUUAUGAAUUAUUUAAUUUUCUUCAAUGACUAUUUGGAGCUUUUUUGUUUGUUCAACAAUAAGACUGAUAUUAAUUUCACAGUAGGAUCUAUAGACACGUUGCAGUGUGAGAUCCCGCCCUCUGCUGCUAGCUGACGAUGACUAGCAUUGGUUUUAGCGGUCAAGUUGCCAACAUAACGCUAAAUCUUAAAUGUCUGGGUGACAUAUAUAAGAGAAAAUAGAUCCUUUGCUACUAAUGGUCAACCCUACGACAACUGUUUAUUUUGUGAUUAUUAACAUUAGCUAAUCUAACACAGCUGUGGCUGACUAGCUAAUUUAAUCACCUGCUCAACUGACGAUCUGUCUGAGUUGGUGUUUAGGUCGCCUUUUUUUUAACUAAACUGAAACACCAAAUUCAGCAGCACAGCUACUUGUUAGAUUGUCAUAGUCAAGCUAGCAUAACUGAACAACUUCCCUGUCCCUUGCUGUUCUUUUUGUAAAUUAAAACUUUUUCCUGAUCUUGUUAUCUGUCUGUUGUAGUGUAGCAAAGCACUGCGUCCUUUUUCUUUAAGAUAUCACAGGUACAUUUAAUAUUUAAAUGUAUCUGAGACUCUAAACAACUUUAAUUUAUAGACAAAUAACCAUCUUUAAAUGGUUAUUUAUAGAUGAUUGUCUUAUUAAAAGCUGUUAUUUAAAGUUGUUAUUUAAAGAUGACGUUGACAACUUUACAGCUAAAGCCAAUGAUAGCCUCCUUACUUGAGUGUCUCUCUAUGCAUGGUUAAUGAAGAAGAGUCGUGAAUAAGUGCGGGUUGUGUGUGAGGAUGAAGACAUCGACCGCCUGAUGAUACGAAUCACAAUACAGUCUCAGUCUGAGACACAACAGCAGACAAAACGCUUUUCUUCUCAUUUAUUUCUAAUAAAUGAGAAGGAACUCAGUUAUGUCAAAUCCCAUUUUCUCUUGUCUACAGUGUUUUGUAUUUUCUCAGAGAUUUUCUUCAUUUUAAAUAUUUAACUUAACAUUAUUUGACUCAUUUUUGAGCAAAUCUUAAAUUAUGACCUGUCUGUUCUGUUCCUUGGUUGUUUGUUUGCUAAUGUUCUCCAACUGUAGAAGAAAUAAAUUUCUGGUAAUUAAUGGGAUAAAAUGCGGUUGGUGGUGAAAUGAUAAGAACCUAUAUGGUGCCAAUUUGUCCAUUCAGCAGCCAGGACAGCCCAGACUGGGACAAUGGCCAAGUGCUUAAGUGGUUUUACGCAAAAAAAAAGUGUUUUCCUUUUUUUAAGCAAUUUGUUUGAAAUUCCUGCCUGUGAAAAGAAAUGUAUUGUAAUGUAAAAACACAUUUGUCACUCAAAACCAUACAUUAAAGGAGGGAAAUGCUGUAAUGGGCAUAAAACCUGAUAUAAGAGGCCCUAUCACGUGGCAGAACACAGCAGGAAGGUGUUUAUUAUGCUGUCACAUCUCAGCAGGAUGCAGUCAAAUAAAUGCCUGUUUGCUAAAAGAAAAAAAAAAGUGUGCUUGAUUGUGUUUUAUUUUGUGAGAGUUCAAUUCAGUUUAUUUAAAUAGCGCCAAUUCAUAACACGUUGCCUCAAGGCACUUUGCAAAAAAUAAAAAAUAAAGACAAUUCUUACAAUCAUACAAAUUCCAAGUUAAGUACAAACAUUCAAAUUUGAUCCUGGUUACCAAACAACACAGUCACGCUCCGUUUAUUAUUCUGAUUGAGAAAAAACGUUAAACGUCAAUGACUAGCAGCCUUCACUUUUCCUGAACAUGAAGCAACAGCAGACAGUCACUGGCAUUGUGUCUUUAAUAUUAAAGAUGAUUUAUUAUGAACAUUUUUAUACUUCCAUUUGAGUUUCUACAGCUACAAGAGGUCCAAGUGCUUAAAAAACAACCAACCUACCAACCCAGCUGUUUUCGACAACAUGUUUAUGUUUUUUGGUGUUUAGAAAAUGAACCAUUUCAAAAACCUUCAGAAUGUUAAGUCACAAUCAAAUGGGCACUGCCCCGUUACCUAGCAACCCCAGUCGAGCCCAUCGCCUAGCAACCCAAGAAGAGCACCAGCACGUUUGGCCAACUGGUUUUACUGCUGUACACGCUGUACAAUGGCUGCUGGAAAGGACAAGAGUUUGUUCUACAGUUGCAUAAUUGCACAUCUGUUUGCAGCCAUUUUGUAAUGAGUCUUGGGGGCGUGGCCAGCAGCAGCUUAUUUGGAUUUAAAGUGACAGGAUGCCCUAAAACAGCUCAUAAAAUAUGCAGAACUGAGCAGACAGUAUCUCAGAAUGCCUUUGCGUAAACAAUGUAAAGAACAUUUUGUAUAACCCAUAGAUUUAUCCUAACCUAUUCAAGGAAGCAUUAUAGGUCUCCAAAUAUUGAGCAAUUAAAGUCGGAGCAAGAGGAAUGUUUAAAACAUUUUAUUACUGGCAAAGGCGUGUUCAUUCGGCUUGGGACUUCUAUGUUCGCUGUGAUGGAUAAUUGUUUACGCCGCAAGCAGCGGUAAGCUUAGCAGCAUAGCUUCUUCACAAUCAAACUAGCACAUUACAUAAGUCAUGGGCAAAUAGAGAUUGGGUAAAGAUUAAAACUUCAACCAGAGUUCACACCUCCUGGAAGCCAUUGAUUCUCAAUAGUUGAUGGUCAAGCGAAGCGUAGAACAAGGGGCUGAUUUCUACCGGGUUACUAUCAUUCCAAAUAUUAGCUGGCACAAACUGUUUAGCUAAGAUAUUAUUCUACUUUCUAUAAACAGUCGAACUAAACAUAUAAUAAAAAACAAAAUCUACCUUUGCAGAAUUUUCAGGUAUUGAAAUCUCCUUGUGUAACAAUCUUCCAAGCAGUGACAUGAAGCUAAUAUUUCUGAGCCAUGUGUUACAGGAUACUCGUUUAGCUUAAAGUGUUACAAAGCAACCGAACAACCUCUAACAUUUGACCGUUAGUUUUCUGGAUUAUUUCUUUGUUGCCUUCAGAUGAAAUCCUAAUCACCUUAAACAGGAUCUCCUCCGCCAUUGACCAGUGAGCAGCUUUAGUGCCGUGUGUGGCUGCAUGAGGACAUGUGUGCUGCUCAAUCAUUUGGAGCAUGAAGAACAGAAAGAGUUUGCAGAUUAAGGGAAACUCAGGGGAUUAAGGUCAUUUCCUGUGUUUAAGCUGUAAAUUAGCCUUUCACUACCACAGGGGAAAACAUACUGAGUGCCACAGUACUGCUCAGGAAAACUUAUACAACUGUCUCCCAAGAAACUUCAGACAGAAGAUUAACCUAUUUGGUUAAUGUCAGAUGAUAUCUGGAUAUUUUUCUGCUCUCAGGGUGUUUUCACACCUGAUAUUCUGGUAGAUUUGGUGCAAUUGGGGACCAAAGUUGCAACAUUUGGCUGCUUUCAUACUGCACUGUCAAACAAUCUAAACCAAUCAAAAUCCCAUUUCCCCUCCAGGCCUGUGGGGGCGCUGCACCAAGACCCACUGAAGGAAACACAAGAAGCACAAAAUUCUGCAGCGUUCCAGUUACUUGAGUUUGAUUUGAUGUCCGACCAGAAUAUUGGCGUUUUAGUGAAGACGCUGGAAUUUCAACAUGGCGACACCCAAAAUCGUAAUUUUAGGUUUUACUUUUCAUACGCAAACACCACUUUCAAUUUGUUCAAAUUAGAGUUGCAGGCACUGCAUGUAACACUGAUUUUAGACUUUACUCUGUCUUUUCCACGUGUAUCUUGUAAAAUAAAUAUGUUUCCACCAAAUCUUACGAUGAGGAGCGACCAUCUUGAAACGCAAAGUUUGCCUUACAAGUUGUAACUCGUGGUAGUUGGAGUUGAAUAGUGCAGUUUUUUUGUAUUAUAUGGUGUAUAAACCUUUUAAAAUAUCACAAGUAAGGCUACACACUUUAGGAAACCAUAGAUCCAUAUUGCCUGUGCAAAGAUUGUAGUAAAUUUACAAAUGUUUUAUAAAUAUUGUAGUAAACAAAUAUCUAAGCUUUAAAACAUUGGCACAGGAUGGCACCAUCUACAAAACUGGGGAUUUUCUGUGUCUUUACUCACUAAACCUAUUUUUGAAUAUCCAAAAUUGCUCCUUUUUGAUUUUUUUCUUUUAUACAUUUAUUUAUUUAUUUAUUUUAUUCAAUUAAAGUUAAACAAUAAAUUGUUAUUUCUGACUAAAAUGAAGUGUACUUUUUGGAAAUCCAGUGUAAAAUAAUUUAAAUAAAAUUAGGCACAUUUUACAGAAAAACCCCCAAAUUAAAACCACCAAAAUAUAUACUUUUGGCACUACCAGAAUUCCCUACAAUUUCUUUUUGAUGAAGGUUCCUGGUCACUGACAUCUGGAAAUCUCAAAUGCUUUUUAUCAUUUUCUGGCUUAGAGUCUGACGUUUCCAUGGAUACCAAAUAUAUCUAUGAUGAACAGUGUGGAGGUGCAGUAAUGGGUAUAAGGGGAAAAAAUUUAAAAUCUGCCCCCUGUUCCAGGGACUUGGGGAAAAUGCAUUAAAUUUUAAUGUGACUUUGUUAUUUCCCCUCAUAGAAAUAACAUUUUCAACCUGUUAGAAAAACUUGUGGACAUUGUGCUGCACAUAAAACAUUAGUUACAGUUUAA